CAGGCGUCUACAAAUAGCUCGUGCUCGACCUCCACACCUGUCAACAGAAGAACAACCCCUUUUUAUCUUACUCCUUCCUUGCUUCUACCUGCCACGACUCAUGGGGGAGCUCAAGUUCCAGAAAUAAGGGGAAGCAGCAGAGAAGGCCCGUCGGAUCGCGGUGGCCUCAUGCUCAGGCGAGGGCUCUCGAAAGCGCAUUCGUAGCGAAGGAGAACAGUCUUUCACCGAUGACGACAUGUCGGCUCAAGUACAUAAGAAGGAGGAGAUCGCAGGCUGGGCCAAGCUGCACGAGGCGAGCAAUGCCUCGCUGAAAAAGGCGACAUCUCUCAUGGUGGAACUUAUGGAUGACAAGGAGAAGAUGUGCAUCGAGCGUGACAUGCUUAAUGAUCAGAUAGCCUGCUAGGCGAAGCUGUACGAGAAGAGCAAGGCAUCCAUGGAGAGCUUGUCCGUCGUCAUCGUCGGACUAAGGGAUGACAAGGCGAAGCUCAGAAACGAGCUAGGUCGCCUGAUGGAUGAAUCUCUUAUUCUGCUGAAGCAAGGUCGGCACGAUGUGAUAGAGCUCAUCGACGCUCACCUCGAAAAAGCCAAGCUCCGCCAACGUCGUGAGGAGGUGAAAGAGCUCAUCGUCGCUCGCCUCGAGAAAGCCAAGCCUACCAAGAUCUCUCAAGAGUAAGUAGACUGUAAGGACACCAGCGAUUUGUGUCUUUCCUUCUUCUUUUGCGUUAGUCUUUCCGGAGUUGAUGCAUGUGGCAUUUUCAACAUAAGUGAAUCAAAGUUCAGAC
rnacentral:lncRNA from 1 species